rnacentral:tRNA from 1 species
ACUAUUUUGGCAGAAAAGUGUAAUGAUUUUAGAAGUCAUGAAUGUAUAAUUUAAUUUAUAUAUAUAGUA